GUAAAUAAAUAAAAUCUUCAAAAAAUAAAAUAAAAUCACCUUGGCUCCUGGGUGGCUGGGCAACUCUGGAUUUCCAACAGAGGGCAGUGUCUGGGGCUCCUCUGAGAAAUAGCUGCUGCUUCCUAAAUGUGGGCCUUGUGCCAGGCUGUAGUUUUCCGUGUUCAGUAAUGCUCAGUCUCUUUCCUGCUCUCAGGAGGUUAUCAGGCUGGAGAGAAAAGUUACUGUGUCAGGAUUCCUUGGCUACAAGCCACAGAAGACUCAUUUGGCUGGUAUACACAGUAAGGUCAUCUACUUAUCUGUUCAAAGCUUACCCAACAAAUACUUACUGAGUACCUACUGUGUUCCGGGCACGUUCAAGGCACUGGGAGUGCAGGCAGUAGACACAGUCCCUGCCCUCAAGGUGUUUACAUUCUCAUAGUCCCAGGACAAGAAGUCUCGGCUUGGUGGAGGGCUGAAUGGGGGUGGCUAGGGCAUGGGGGCAAUCUGGGUUUAAGGCCGUGACUCAACCAUGUCACAAGAACUAGGAUUUUGCAUCCUUCCGCUCUGCCGUUCACUAUACAUUAGCUUUUCCUUAUUGGGCUUGGUCCGUCUCAGUCAUUAGAUGGCCUUUCAUCACACCCCCACGAUCUAGAAGCAGGAGGAUCAGCAUAGCCAGAGUUUCACCUCUGCCAGUGUUAACAGGAGGCAGACCUUUCCCAGAAGCCUCCACGAAAAUACCCCGGUACCUCAUGGAUCCAAGUGUUGCGUGGUCAUUUCUUGCUGUAAAAGAGUCUGAGAAAGUAGGGACUAGACAAAAGGGUCCAAUCAGGAUUCUCCCCUUGGGUUGGGGGUGGAACCUCCCUUCUCUGAGCCCAUUACUGUUUUUAGGAAGGAAGUUAAGGGGAUGGUUGCUGAGUUAGGUGGCACGAAGGGUCUACCACAGAGGCAGACACUGAAACAGACAAAUAGGAGAUCAGCUCUAUCCAUUUCUUCUGAAAAGCAGAUCUGUCCAUGAUGCAUUCCUUUCAAAUCCUUCAAUCUGCCUCCCCCCUCCCCUCUUCUGUGGUUGGAAAACUAAGGUGCGUUGGAAUUACCCAGGAAGCUUGUUGAAAGUUCUGUGUCCUGGGCCCCAUCCACUGAGCUGGGUGGGGAUCCAAAAAUUUGCAUUUUAACAGACACUUCGGGUGAUUCUGAUGUAGAGUCCUGGGGCAACACUUUGGAACACUAAGGUGGACAGGAUCUAGACCUCAGAAUGGUUUACAUGAACCUUCCAUGAGCUAGAACCUCUUCCCAUGUCUCCCCCACACUGUAAUGCAGAAUUUCCUGUCUCCUACAACGUGUGCUCUUUGCCAUGUAUGUGCUUUUUGCCUCCCAGCCUUUAUGUGGGCUCCGGUCCCCUGGCCUGCCUCUCCUGGGCACAGUCUGCCUCAUUCCUGCAGGGAUUUUCUGCUUCCUCCUCUGCUUCCCACUUUGCACACUCUUGUUAGGAUUCCCCACUCUCUUUCCAGAUAGUGAGAUCACUGCAUUUCCCCACCCUCUAGAUCUCCUGGGCACAGAUCAGGUACUCAAGGAUGUUGUGUGUAAGCAUGUUCAUGGUCAGAGGGGAAGGUGCUGUUGACUGGGUGUGCUGGGAGGAGGUGGAAGUUGAGCCCGGGCUCGAAGAAGGAGUGGAAUUUUGAUGUGUGCCUGCAACAACCGGGGCAUUCUAGACCAAGAGAGGCUUGUGAGAGGGGACAACAAGGCAGGGAAGUGAGGGAUGCCUCGGGAGGAUUUGACUGGGGGAAGGGCUUGCUUGAGAAGAGGGGUGAGGUAGAACUGGAGAGGUGGUUUGGGGCUGGACUGGGAUCUUGCGCAUGAGACUGAGGGGUCUACAUAGUCCAGAAUCAGGGAAGGAAGGGAGACAGGGAGGUUAGGGAAAGGAAAGAAAGAAAAUCAGUGGCUCAGGCCAUAGAUUUGGGGGCAGGGGAUGGGUAGAGAUGAAGUUUUUUAGGCUGCCUCCCAUUUCCCUCAGUGAAGUGGGGUGGGAGGGGUGGUUUUAGAAGCAGCAGCACCAUGGGGUAAAUUCCUGCGUCUUCCAAGUGGAGACUGGACAGAGAGGCGGUGUGUGGGCAGCAGCAGGCCAGGAUGUGGAUGCCAAGAGCACAAGGCUCUGGAGCCCGGCACACGAGGUUCAGAUCCUGCCUCUCUGCAGCACAGGGGCUGUGAGAGCCUCGGGAAGUGACCUCAUUGCCUUAGCCUGUUUUCUCCCCUGUAAUGUGCAGGUACUAACACACCUGUCUGUUUUCCUUUUCUAGUGCCACCAGGACAAAUGACAAUGACCACAAACCAGGCGCCUUAAAACAGUAGAAAUCUAUUCUCUCACAGCUUAAGAUGCCUGAAGUCCAAAAUCAGAGGCCCUAGGGAGGCUCCUUCCUCGCCUUUUCCAAUUUCAGGAACUAUUGCAGGGGAGGACCGCACAUUGCAGCUAAGAAAACUCAGGCUCAGUGGGAUAAGGUAACUUGCCCAAGGUCACAGAGCUGGGGAGCAGUAGAGCCACAAGAAUCCAACCGCCACCUUCGCCACUCCCCUCCCCCCAGUACUUCCUUGCCACAGUGGUGGGGGAGGGGCAGGCUCAGAGCCUCUCUUCCCUGUUUCCCUCCCUCAGAAGGUUCCAACUCUCAACGUGACCAAAUGCUUGGGUCCACAGAGGAGGCCAGCCGUCUUAGGAAUCUUCCUGCUGAGAGCAGAAAGGCCACAGGCAACAGGGGCUAGAAUCAUCCAGUGUAACCUAGAAAGGAGCAGUGGUGUCAGACCAUGUGAAGUCAGUCUCCUUGCUCAAGGGCCUUCUGAAGCCUGGGCGGCUAUUUGGGGGGCACUUGGUUCCCUCACAGAAAGUGUAGACGAAGAUACCAUGGCACGUAAGGAUGGCAGUCCUGCUUAUCUACUGUUACAAUAAACCAUCCGGAAACUUAGUUGUGAAAAGCAACUAUUGCAUUAUGCUCACAGAUUCUGUGGUCUGAAAUUCGGAAACGGGCCAGUGGGAACCACUUGUCUCUGUUCCCGGAUAACUGGGGCCUCACCCGCAAAGACCUGAAGGCUGGUGAUUACUUCAGCGGCUGGAAUCACCCAGAGGCCUCUACGGUCCUUUGGUAUUUGUGGUGGUUGAUGUUGGUUAUUGGCUGGGACCUCCGCUGGGACUGUCAGCAGGAGCAUGUGCCUCGCCACCCCCCACCCCACGUGGCUGGGGCUUCCUUACAGCGUGAGAGCAUCAGCGUAGGCCAAGCUCAAGGCUCUGAAAGGGAUUGCCCCAGCCAGGAUGAGGAGGACCCAUUACUUUCAUGACCUUGCCUUAGAGGUCAUGCAGAGCCACUGCAAUGCAUUUUACUGGUUAUCAGUGAGUUGUAGACCCACCCAGUUUCAAGGGGAGGGGAAUUAGACUUCAUCUCUCUCUCUCUUUUUAAAAGUUUUAUUUAUUUACAUAAUCUCUACACCCCGCAUGGGGCUCUAACUCACAACCUGGAGAUCAAGAGUCAUCCGCUCUUUCGACUGAGGCAGCCAGAGACCCUAGACUCCAUUUCUUGAAAAGGGCAUGGCUAGUUCUAAAAGACCAUGGAGGACAGAAGGUAUCAUUGGGCCUAUCUCUGGAAGAUACAAUCUGCCAUGAUAGCUAACAGAGUGUUUACUGUGUGCCAGGAAUUGAAUUAACUCAUCUUAUCUCCAAACCCCACCCCAUCCAGAGACUUCUUUUGAGUAUGUAUCUAUCUGUCUCUAUAAAUUUCCCUUUCUCUAUAUAUUAUAUAUAAUACAAAUAUAUACAUUAAUAAAUUAUGUAUAUGUAUGUAUCACUGUACUAAUAUAUUAUAUACAUAAUACAUAUACAACUCCUUGAGGUUUUAAAAGGCUGGGAUAUGAAAUAAAGAUAAUCAGAAAUUUCAAGGUUGUCUUCCUGUAUUUCAAAGGAGUUAAAGGGUUUACCUUUGAAAUCUGUCCCCUCUCCUUCCCAUCCAUUGCCACCCCCUGGUCCAGGAUGCCAUUAAAUCUCAACUGAGCAGCUUCAGCAGUAACCUCCAUGGUCUGUCUGCCACCCACAGUGCUUCCCCAGAGCCCCGAUCCUUCACAGUAGCCAGAGCUAGAGCAAUCUUUUCUAAAGAGCUCUCACU